rnacentral:lncRNA from 10 species
AGCAAACUGCCCCUGUUCCAUUUUGUUCUUUGGCUUUUUGCAAUAAAUCUUGCUGCUGCUCACUGUUUGGACCUGCCUGGCCUUUAUGAGCUGUAACACUCACCACGAAGGUCUGCAGCUUUGCUCUUGAGGCCAGUUAAGACCACAAACCCACUGGAAGGAGCGAACAACUCCAGAAGCACUGCGUAUAAGAGCUGUAACACCCACAGUGAGGGUCUGCAGCUUCAUUCCUGAAGUCAGCGAGACCACAAACCCACCAGAAGCAAGAAACUCUGGACACAUCUGAACAUCUGAAGGAACAAACUCUGGACACAUCAUCUUUAAGAACUGUAUGACUCACUGCAAGGGUCUGUGGCUUCAGUGAGACCAAUAACCCACCAAUUCUGAACACACUAAUCUUUAUUAAUUUAUGUGGGGAAUGAGGUUAACACUUCUAAAGUUAGAUUAACGUUAUGUGAGAAAAUUCAAAAUAUGGGAUUUUUUUUCACGGAUUCUUUGUUACUCUGCUUUAUAGCAAUUUCAGUAAGAUAUUCUAUUUGGAUAAAGGAAUCAGUUAUUUGAAAUUUAAAAAUAUAGUACUGAGUUUUGUGUUCCCCUUCCUGAUUGCAUGGACUCGGCUGCUGAACAAAGUUAUGCAUUUACUUUACUUUUGAUAAUUAAAAUUGUGAGAUCCUCAAGGGCAGGAACAAUUUCCUUUUGAUUCCUAGCAGUAAGUUUUUGCAUCUUGAAGGUGUUCAAUGAAUAUAUGUUGAAUGAAUGCUUGUAUCCUUAAUUUGGAAAGUAAUAAGUAUUUGUCAAAAGAAAAUGAAAAACAAUAUGCAGGAAAAAUUUAGAAUUAAUAGAGUAUAAGGUAUAAAAUACGUUAGUCAAAAUAGAGACGUUGUUGAAAUAAAGCUUCCAUUAAGGAAAAUAGGCUUUGGUCAGUUUUUCAUCCCACUUGAAGACAAAGACCCCAGUGAUUUGGAUGGUAUUAGAAAAAAGUUUAUGAUAAAAAUGAAAAUAGGUAUUUAUAUUUUAGAAUUCAAAUUUACAUUAUGAAGUCCAGUUUUGGACAAUAUCUAUGAAAUUAUAUUUUCAGCAUUCACAUCUUGUUUUUCUUUGUACCAUAAGACUCAGAGAACAGUUCUUCGUCUUUCUUGAAUUAGUUGACAAUCUAAGACCUUAGAACAAUGGGCUAUGCAAAAAAGUAAUUCUGUUUAUAAAUAGAAAAAAUAAUCAUACCUUAAGCCUUUAGGAAAGAGAAAUUUGCCAACACACGCUGUUCUCCUUUUACCUUUUCUUUUUUACCACGUAUUUUGCUCAAACAUAGUCACUAUCUAGCUCAAUACUUUUACUCUUAAAUUAUAUACCAGGAAAAUUCUAUUUCAAACCUUUAUCUUUACCACUUUGUCUUCCCAGCAACAACUAUCUUUUUCCUUUAUCCAUCUGCACCCAACUCUGAUGAGCUGGAGAAAAAAGACAGAGUGUUAGUGUGGAAACAAACACAAGGGACAGAGUGAUUUAUCAAGAGCAUGGAUGUUAUCGAUGAUGAUGAAAAUCAAGAAUAGAUAAGCUCUUUCUCAAUCCUUGGAUCCUCGUGGCUUUUUGUGGAAAGUUGAAAAUUACAUUAGAAACAAAAGUAUUUUAGAGAUGUCAAAUAAAUGGUUUAAGAAAACAUACAGUAUAUAUUUAACAUAAAUUUUUUCCCUUGUGUAAAACAACUCCCUAACUGUACAAAUUAGUAAAUAUAUUUAGGCCCAAAUAAAUAAAAUAUAGUGAAAAUAGACUAGAUAGCAUGAUUUAAAUUCACAUGUUAUUCUGACUAUCCUUAAUAUUAUUAUUUUGUUAUUUAAUGGAAAUAGCAUUAAAUGGGAGUGCAGAAAUCUAGGCUGCAGCCGACCAACAAUUUGACUUUAAGGAAGUAAUUUCAGUUUCCUGAGCCUCAAUUUCUUUAUCUGUAAAAUAAACUCCAAGGCCACUUUUAGGAAUAAAAUUCAGGACACUUAAUUCUCCAGGUGACAGCUAAAUUAUUUGGAUUGAGGAUACAUGCCUGCAUUUUCAGUCUGGACCUAAAGAGAGAAAGCAAAAAAAAAAUAUUGCAUAUUAUGUGUGGAAAUUGAUAAACAGAACCCAAGUUUAUCUUUGUUGCUGUUGUUUCUGUUAUUGUUGUUUUGUUUUGUUAUUUUGACGAACUUGUACCUAGAACAAAAUAAACUUUUAUUUUCCUGGA